rnacentral:rRNA from 1 species
UACGGAGGGUGCAAGCGUUAUCCGGAUUCACUGGGUUUAAAGGGUGCGUAGGCGGACAGGUAAGUCAGUGGUGAAAUCUCUGGGCUUAACCCAGAAACUGCCGUUGAUACUAUUUGUCUUGAAUAUCCUGGAGGUAGGCGGAAUAUGUCAUGUAGCGGUGAAAUGCUUAGAUAUGACAUAGAACACCGAUAGCGAAGGCAGCUUA